rnacentral:rRNA from 1 species
AGUGAACGCUGGCGGUAGGCCUAACACAUGCAAGUCGAACGGCAGCACAGUAAGAGCUUGCUCUUACGGGUGGCGAGUGGCGGACGGGUGAGGAAUACAUCGGAAUCUACUUUUUCGUGGGGGAUAACGUAGGGAAACUUACGCUAAUACCGCAUACGACCUACGGGUGAAAGCAGGGGAUCUUCGGACCUUGCGCGAUUGAAUGAGCCGAUGUCGGAUUAGCUAGUUGGCGGGGUAAAGGCCCACCAAGGCGACGAUCCGUAGCUGGGCUGAGAGGAUGAUCGGCCACACUGGAACUGAGACACGGUCCAGACUCCUACGGGAGGCAGCAGUGGGGAAUAUUGGACAAUGGGCGCAAGCCUGAUCCAGCCAUACCGCGUGGGUGAAGAAGGCCUUCGGGUUGUAAAGCCCUUUUGUUGGGAAAGAAAAGCAGCAGGUUAAUACCCCGCUGUUCUGACGGUACCCAAAGAAUAAGCACCGGCUAACUUCGUG